UGAGGAACAUGACUUUCGGCGGGGGAUAGCCGGCCCAACGGCCGGGUAAUACCGCGUACGACCUUUUGGGGACAUCCCCGAUUGGUGAAAGCAGCAAUGCGCCGAAAGAGUGCCUCGCGGCCUAUCAGCUAGUUGGUGGGGUAAUGGCUCACCAAGGCGACGACGGGUAGCUGGUCUGAGAGGAUGGCCAGCCACAUUGGGACUGAGAUACCGGCCCAGACUCCGUACGGGAGGCAG
rnacentral:rRNA from 1 species